CUUGGUCAUUUAGAGGAAGUAAAAGUCGUAACAAGGUUUCCGUAGGUGAACCUGCGGAAGGAUCAUUAUCGAAAUUAUUGGUGAGGGUUGUAGCUGGCCUUUCGAGGCAUGUGCACGCUCGAGCCCUUAAUCCACUUUACACCUGUGCACUUAAUGUAGGUCGCCCUUAAAAAAGGUGACCUAUGUCUUAUCAUCAACCCAUCGUAUGUCUCAUAGAAUGUAAUCGAUAUCCUCGCCCUAAAAAAGCGUUGAUAAACUUAUACAACUUUCAACAACGGAUCUCUUGGCUCUCGCAUCGAUGAAGAACGCAGCGAAAUGCGAUAGGUAAUGUGAAUUGCAGAUUUUCAGUGAAUCAUCGAAUCUUUGAACGCACCUUGCGCUCCUUGGUAUUCCGAGGAGCAUGCCUGUUUGAGUGUCAUUAAAUUCUCAACUCCAAGGGUUUCACGACCUUUCGGAGAUUGGACUUGGAGGUGCUGGCCGCAUAUUGGUCGGCUCCUCUCAAAUGCAUCAGCGGAAUUCAACCUUUGGCUUCCGGAUGUCAGUGUGAUAAUCAUGUUGCGCUGUCGUUUGAUCCCUCAGAGUCCGCUUAUAAUGGUCUUCGGACAAAAUCAUCAUCAAAUUUGACCUCAAAUCAGGUAGGACUACCCGCUGAACUUAAGCAUAUCAAUAAGCGGAGNA
rnacentral:rRNA from 1 species